rnacentral:rRNA from 1 species
AUACGUAGGUGGCAAGCGUUAUCCGGAUUUACUGGGUGUAAAGGGCGCGUAGGCGGGGGUGCAAGUCAGAUGUGAAAUCUAUGGGCUUAACUCAUAAACUGCAUUUGAAACUGUAUCUCUUGAGUGUUGGAGAGGUAGACGGAAUUCCUUGUGGAGCGGUGAAAUGCGUAGAUAUAAGGAAGAACACCAGUGGCGAAGGCGGCUUACUGGACUGUAACUGACGUUGAGGCUCGAAAGCGUGGGGAGCAAACAGGAUUAGAUACCCUGGUAGUCCACGCCGUAAACGAUGAUUACUAGGUGUUGGUUGUCAUAGACAAUCGGUGCCGCAGCAAACGCAAUAAGUAAUCCACCUGGGGAGUACGUUCGCAAGAAUGAAACUCAAAUGAAUUGGCGGGG